GGCGAGGAAGUUCAGGAAGAUUGAUGUUUACUCGUUUAGGAUUGUUAUAUGGGAACUGCUUACUGGCGAUGAACCUAUACAGAUAUGCAUUGUGCUUCUAUAAUUGAUACAAAUUUGAUUUCAAUUUCAUUUAUUGCUUGGAAUUGUCGUCACUAACGUCUACUUCAUAUUUGUGUGUGUGUCAAAUUAUCUUUAUGAAGUGUCAAUUAUGUGGCUCUUACUGACAAUGCUUCAUGAUACCCAAUAGGAGCUAUGAUGUCAUGACAGCAAUGUGAGUUUAGCUAUUUACUGAUUUUACUCUGCGGAACU